GCUCGUAUGGUCUAGUGGUAUGACGUUCGCCUCACAUCUUCAAGAAGAUUGUCUUCUGAAGUAGGUCGCGACAGGUCCCAGGUUCGAUCCCUGGUGUGAGCA